UCUCUCUUUCUCCCAGAUCUAGGGUUUCGUCUUCCGUGAUGAAAGAUGUCUGGAGUGCUGAUGGUUUGAGAUGAAAUCAGAUGAUGAACAACCUGUGAUGAAGAACAAACAUCAAUGAAAUCGAAAACACACAGGGUUGAACACGGAUUUGAAGAAACCCUAACUGAAGGUUUUGUCCGGUCAUCUCUGUUGUGGUUUCUUUCGGCUUUCUUCCACAUCAACGAUUAGCAAACACAAAGGUUUAAUGGUGGCAUGUUUGUGCUGGUUCAACAAAGCCAGAAAGCGGAGGCGACGACUAGGGUUUCGAUUAGUGAUCUCGGUCUGAUGUUCUUCACGAUAGAGAUGCACUCGAGAUGGUAAAGAUGGAAUUCCAGCAUUGCUUGGGGUUACAGGUGUGCUUGAUUUGGGAUCCGCGUUUGAGUUUAGUUCUGGCUGGAAUCCGAGUCGAUCGUUUCACAACUACAAUGGCGUCUUCUAGGGUUUCAUCAAAAGUCCAAAUCAAGAAAAUCCGUUGGGUCCAUCACUAAAGCUGCAGAUAUUUUCAGAUCUGAAGUAUGAUAGGCCAAACGAAUUGACGGAUCGGCAACUUUCUAAUGAGAUGGAAGCGAUUGCGGCUGCUUAUCAUAUUUUUAGAAAUGCUGCUCAGCCUGGUUUCACGUACAUUGAAGAUAUGGAUUUAAGGAGAUUUAUGAAAAUUAGGCAGGCUGGCACGUUUGGGUGACAAGCAUAAACCCAUUUAAGUAGAAAAAUUUGGAAGUAUUUUGUUACCGGUCGGGUUAGGAACGAAGAAGCGCAUGGGACUCGAGGGUUGUACCUCAUGGCAGUCAAAGUAACAAGUAAAACAAGAAGGAAGCGAGUCAUAAGCGUACUGGGGAUUGGCUGCAGGGACCUUAUGUGUACUACCUUUACACGAUGUACGGUUUCGGUAUAGGUGAAAUUGGGCAGCUGUUUAUUGCUGGAUUUGGAUCUUCCAUGCUGUUUGGGACAAUUGUUGGAUCAUUAGCUGAUAACAUGGUCGAAAAAGAGCUUCGGUUACAGUGCAUAACUUACAUUUUGAGUUGCAUCAUGAAGCAUUCACCUGACUACAGAAUUUUGAUGGUGGGACGAAUCUUGGGAGGGAUUGCCACUUCGCUUCUGAUUUCGGCUUUCGAGUGAUGGCUUGUUGCUGAACACAACAAGGUUGAGGCUGAGGUUUCACGACUUGAAGCGUUGAAGUCGAGCAAAAUGAAGGAACUCGUCUUCAAGAAACGAUUAGAGUUAGAGGACAUUUGUAGAAAGACUCACUUCCAGAAGCUGCUGAUAGUUCAAUGGAGAUAGCUAUGGAAGCUAUUGAAGCUGGUAGAUGUGGAUUUGAACCUUGUGAAGAGCUUUCUUGGUUCGUUUUCUUCUCAAGAGGGACUACCGUGACCUGCUUCGAAUCUGCUUGGUCUCAUGGGCCUUCAACUCCCACAAGACGACAAUAAGGACAAAUGAUUAGAUGUUUGGAUGAAAUACUUGAUCUUGUGAGAGGAUAGCCUUUUGAUUGACCCUCCUGCAAGUUUUGAUCGCUUUACUUUUUGACGGAUAUGAAAUAGCAUAUUGUGUUUCUUACAUCAUUGAAGUUUGAGGUUGUUAUUUGAUUCGAUUUCAGAAAAUCGGGUUCGAAGGAGUUGAAUUUGAACCCUUGACACACUGUUUGGUGUGGUUUGAUACU